GCCAAUAAACGUUAGAUCUACAGAUCCAUUAAAGAUCAAUCAGAGUUUAUGCGAAUAUACGGUUAAAGAAUAUGAAAUACAGAGAAAAGAUUAAGUCUUUUUCCUGUUUUGUUGGUUUCUUUUUCAGUUUUUGUUUUCCUUUUUCUCUCUAUAUAUAUUUGUUUUUCAGUUGAAUGUGAAUGCGGGAGAUGAGAAUGGAAGGGAAGAUGAAGAAGAUAAAAGAAGAAAAAAAG
rnacentral:lncRNA from 1 species